GAUGAACGCUAGCUACAGGCUUAACACAUGCAAGUCGAACGGGGAUUUUGUUUCGGCAGAAUCCUAGUGGCGAACGGGUGAGUAACGCGUAGGCAACCUGCCCUCCGGCCGGGGGACAACACUCCGAAAGGGGUGCUAAUACCGGAUACGAAGUCUGUGCCGCAUGGUACGGAUUUGAAAGAUGGCCUCUGUUUACAAGCUAUCGCCGGGGGAUGGGCCUGCGUCCGAUUAGCUGGUUGGUGGGGUAACGGCCUACCAAGGCGACGAUCGGUAGCCGGUCUGAGAGGAUGAACGGCCACAUUGGGACUGAGACACGGCCCAGACUCC
rnacentral:rRNA from 1 species